rnacentral:lncRNA from 1 species
CCGGCGGCCACCACGUCACCCCUCCCUUCGCAGGGUCCUCUUCCUUUUCUCUGACUCUGCUUCGGAGAGUGCUUCCUUAGCUUCGGGAAGAGGCUGUAAUCUAACUCAUCGUCUGUUUGCUCUGAAAACCAGCGUGGACGUGCAGAGGCCGACUGGAUCACCGUCAGUAACCGUGCUGCCAGUCCGAGAAGCCAGCCCGGCCUCUGAAGCGUACGACCUUGAGCUGCACAAGGACAAGCGCAGACCAAGGGAUGCUCUCUGGAUGAAGAUGCUCCAAGAGAAAAUGAAUACGCAGCAGAGGCAGAGGAAGACCCCCAGCCUCGGCUCUCAGCGGGACCUGGAGAGCCAGCGGAGAGAGGUACCUGUGGUCUGUCGCGUUUGCAGGACGGACCCACGUGCUGCCAUUAUUGAGCUUGGGGACUCGCCCUUCAGGCCUCAGGACAAGAUUAUCUGUAAAUCAGAUAAGAAGGAUUCUCAAAGUAAAAGAUAUCUUAGUCGCUUACAUCAGAUGUAUUCCACUUCGCUCGCCAACAUGGAGUUCUCCAGGAGGAGUAACCUUCCAGAACAAAUGAGGAGUAAGCCUGCCUCUCCAGGGAUGACCACAGCACCCCUCACCCUGGAACAAGCAAGUCAGAAGUCCCGUGUUCUGGAGGCUAAGACAGCAAGUCGAUACUGGACUAACUAUGUGGAUUGAGAAAGCGAAUGUAGUGUCUCACCUGCAUGAAAAGAAUGAAGAAAUGUUGAAACUCCCCCCAAAAUAAUUAAAUGGCAGAUUUCUUUUUCUUCAAAUUUAUGACAAGAAAAUAUGGUAUUAUCUAGUAAAUAAUAAUAUAAACCCAGAAAUAUGAAUAAAAAUCAGUAGAAAUAAGAAUCA